AUUGAACGCUGGCGGCCUGCCUUUCACAUGCAAGUUGAACGGUAACGGGCCUUCGGGUGCCGCCGUGUGGCGCACGGGUGCGUUCUACAGCGGACCGUGCACGAUCGUGGGGGUUAAUGAGGGGCACGCUUUGUUAAUACCGCUUCCGAUCACCGGAUGACAGCCGGGGACCGCAAGGCCUCGCGCGGACGGCGCGGGCGAUGGCAGAUUAGGUAGCAGGUGGGAUAGAAGCUUACAAGGCCGAUGAUCUGUAGCUGUUCUGUGAGGAUGGCCAGCCACACUGGGACUGGGACACGGCCCAGACUCCUACGGUAGGCAGCAGUGGGGAAUUUUGGACAAUGGGCGCAAGCCGGAUCCAGCCAUGCCGCGUGAAGGAUGAAGGCCUUCGGGUUGUAAACUGCUUUUGUACGGAACGAAAAGCCUUCUUUUAAUACAGGAGGGUCAUGACGGUACCGUAAGAAUAAGCACCGGCUAACUACGUG
rnacentral:rRNA from 1 species